UUUCCAGAGAGGUUUAGCCCCCGUUUACACGAAAGGAAGACGCAGAUAUUUUCCUGCGGUUUGGCCUCUCAUUUACAC